rnacentral:sRNA from 1 species
UUGACUCUCAAAUGAGAAUCGUUAUGACUAUCACAACUGGUCGCGAGAUCAGCCGAUAACUGAAAGACCAUUGGUUCGGACUCUCAGAUUAUCUCCUCAUCAGGCUAAUCACGGUUAUUUGACCCGGCUCUUGCCGGGUCUUUUUUUG